rnacentral:piRNA from 1 species
UACUAUAAGAUGGCUGUCACCCCA